rnacentral:rRNA from 1 species
UGAGGAAUAUUGGUCAAUGGGCGCAAGCCUGAACCAGCCAUGCCGCGUGCAGGAAGAAUGCCCUAUGGGUUGUAAACUGCUUUUAUUUGGGAAUAAACCUCUUUACGUGUAGAGAGCUGAAGGUACCAAAUGAAUAAGCACCGGCUAACUCCGUGCCAGCAGCCGCGGUAAUACGGAGGGUGCAAGCGUUAUCCGGAAUCAUUGGGUUUAAAGGGUCCGCAGGCGGUUUAAUAAGUCAGUGGUGAAAGCCUAUUGCUCAACAAUAGAACUGCCAUUGAUACUGUUAGACUUGAAUUAGGUCGGAGUGGGCGGAAUAUGACAUGUAGCGGUGAAAUGCUUAGAUAUGUCAUAGAACACCGAUAGCGAAGGCAGCUCACUAGCCCUAAAUUGACGCUCAUGG